rnacentral:lncRNA from 1 species
AAAGGGUUUAGGAAUCAGAAGGAGCCUCCAGGCAGUGAGUGCUGUCUGAGCAGAGAAGGGCCUGAGAGAGCGGGGCAGUCUUGUCACAGAAACAGAGCCCACCUCAUCCCAGCACACGGGCCCAAGCACUGGUCUCACCCCCACCCCUCAGACUCCGAGCCGGGCCAGAGCACAGCCAGGAGAAUCUGGUUAGCUCCUCGGGGAAACUGAGGCUCACAGAAGGGUGGAAACACCCGGUCACAACGGUCACCACCACAAUCCAGGGUCCGGCCGAGGUCUCCCACUCCCCGUGGCUGGGCCCGGAGGACAGGCCACCAUCACCGUGUGCCCAGCCACAACAAGCCACAGGAGCUGAGGCCGGAGCUGAAAACCCUUCCCGCCUGACUGGGGACAAGAACAAGUACAAAGAAGGUGCCGGGGUGCGGGGGGAAGGUCGGGCAUGAGACGGGGCUGGAGGGGGCAGAGGAGCUGCAGAGGGUGCAGGCCCCGGCAUA